rnacentral:rRNA from 1 species
GCGCACGCUGGCGGCAGGCUUAACCCAUGCCAGUCGCGCGGGCCCUUCGGGGUCAGCGGCAGACGGGUGAGUAACGCGUGGGAACGUGCCCUUCGGUUCGGAAUAACUCAGGGAAACUUGAGCUAAUACCGGAUACGCCCUUAUGGGGAAAGGCUUGCUGCCGAAGGAUCGGCCCGCGUCUGAUUAGCUAGUUGGUGAGGUUAUGGCUCACCAAGGCGACGAUCAGUAGCUGGUCUGAGAGGAUGAUCAGCCACACUGGGACUGAGACACGGCCCAGACUCCUACGGGAGGCAGCAGUGGGGAAUAUUGGACAAUGGGGGCAACCCUGAUCCAGCCAUGCCGCGUGAGUGAUGACGGCCUUAGGGUUGUAAAGCUCUUUUCUCCGGGACGAUAAUGACGGUACCGGAGGAAUAAGCCCCGGCUAACUUCGUG